rnacentral:misc_RNA from 1 species
AGCACCAGAACGGAAUGCAACAAUGAAAGCCUUACCAACACCCUUUCUAGCCUCCAAUGUAGUCCGUGCAUUUGCAUAUGUUGCAAUUUUCAUUCCAAGAAAUCCGGAAAUCACGGAGGUAAUAGCACCAAGCAAGAAGGAUAUGGUGCUAAAGACAGCAGUUGCAAGAGCAGGCUUGCACAUUUUGGAACUGUCAUACGUACAUUCCUG